AUGGGGGAAACCCUGAUCCAGCCAUCCCGCGUGUGCGAUGAAGGCCUUCGGGUUGUAAAGCACUUUUGUCAGGGAAGAAAUCGUACAGGCUAAUAUCCUGUGCGGAUGACGGUACCUGAAGAAUAAGCACCGGCUAACUACGUGCCAGCAGCCGCGGUAAUACGUACGGUGCAAGCGUUAAUCGGAAUUACUGGGCGUAAAGGGUGCGCAGGCGGUUUAUCAAGAAAGGUGUGAAAUCCCCGGGCUUAACCUGGGAAUGGCACUUAUUAACUGAUAGGCUAGAGUAUGUCAGAGGGGGGUAGAAUUCCACGUGUAGCAGUGAAAUGCGUAGAGAUGUGGAGGAAUACCGAUGGCGAAGGCAGCCCCCUGGGAUAAUACUGACGCUCAUGCACGAAAGCGUGGGGAGCAAACAUGGAUUAGAUACCCUGGUAGUCCACGCCCUAAACGAUGUCAACUAGCUGUUGGGGCCUUCGGGCCUUAGUAGCGCAGCUAACGCGUGAAGUNGACCGCCUGGGGACUACAGUCGCAAGACU
rnacentral:rRNA from 1 species